UAGACGACAUCGAAAAGAAGAGUAGCGAGUAAUGGUUUUAAGAGAGUCUCUGGCAGGUGAAAAGAGGCAACACUUACUAGUGAAACACAUCUUGGAGUCGGUUUUCUGAAACAUAGUAGGAAAAUCCGGGAAGCCCGUUACAGCUGCGGUCAUUGUUGGAUGACCAGAUGAGGUUAAUUUCCGUGAGGAAUUGACAAAAAAAGGUGGAACCACGUUAUUUACGUCCUUUGA
rnacentral:ncRNA from 1 species